AUGGGCAGAAUUCACCGUGGUACGCAUUCCAGUUCACUUCAGAAACCUCCAGCCGAUUUAUGGUGAAGGAUCCUUCCUUUUCAACCUCACAUUUUACUUCAGCUGGGGAAGGUGUAUAUUGAGGAAUAUUGAAGGAAUCCAUCUUCUCCUCAUCUAUGAGCCCCUGCAUUUAAAAAUGGUUAAUUAAUUUACAUGCAAUUUCAUAUAUAGUUACCACACAGGUGCUGUUGCUGAAUGAUUUGAUCUAUACAAAUUGGCAACAUUAAGGGAUGAAAGAAUUAAAACUGUACCUCUGAAACCAUAUCAUUGAGAGCCACAGCUAAGAGCUCCCAGAUAUAGCAACAUUCUUUGCUAGAGGGAUCUUCACUUCUUCUUCCUAAAAAUGUUAAAACCAUAGUCCCUCCUCCUAGUAGUUCCUCCGACCGACACCUGAGAAACAUGGAGAAAUCGCUUUGGAAUUGCUCAUAGUAUGCUUUAAGCACGCUUGGUGGGCUCGAACUGGCCAUGUAAAUAUUCCCUUUGUUCUCCAGCCCUCGAGGAACCUGACGAACAAUUGAAGUUUCUAACUCACUUGCUUUCUUUUUGGUUACUAAUAAAUCAUCAUAAACCAGUAUUUUUAAUUAAAAGCAAAGAGUCACCUGAGACAACCAUUGGAGACUGUAAGAAGAAUGGACAAAAUGAAGACUUUUGCUGGGGAAGAGCCUGCAGUAGAAAGAGCCUGGAACUCCGGUUACAAAACAUGAUUCAGCGCCUGCUCCCAUUGUUUUCUGAAGAUCUUUCUGGAACUUGGGCAAGGAUUUGAAAAUGGUGUUGAAAUCAUUUCCCGGCAGAUCAUUCAAAAACACUUGAAUUUCGGGCAAUUGACGCCCCAUUUUCUUCCCCACCUUGUCCACUGUAGUGACAACUUCCAAGACUGCAAAAAAAGUGUUGGGUCCAGAAGAACAGCCCAAGUCUGCGAUGCAUAGGCUGGCCGGGAAGUUGUUGCAGUAGAGAUUUGUUAUGGCGUCCUCGAUUAUAGGCUUUGUCAAGGAUAUUACUUUUUUCUGCACCAUUAAAGUGGAACUUGUCAUAAUUGAAAACUUUUCAGAAAAACGGCAGUAUAUUGUACCUGCGUGAUAAAAACACAAAAUCUGGAAGUGCAUGGGUGCUACAGAUCAAUCAGCAUGUCUUGACUAUUCAUUCUUUAAUUUAAGAAAAGGAAACAGUGCAUAUAUAUAAUAUAUACAUGUCAGCUGAUGCUUAAAUAUCGAAGAAGAAUUAAAUUUAGCAAGAGACACACCUGAACUAAUGAGUUUUCUGCGUAACUGGUGUCCCCAUUUCCUCCCUUCAUGCAAAGCACUUGAGCUACUUCCAUCUCUUUCUUCCUGCCUCUUCGCUGAUUGCUUCCUCUCAGUUGGAAUGUGGAUUAUGUUGAAGGAGAUGCUCCCCAUUUAUAGAACUUGGAGCCACAUCUUAGUGGAAUUAAUUUUUUCAUCUUCUAUGGGCUCUACUUCCACCGAACCCCCGAUUGGCACUAGUGGAACUGAUAAUUCAGGAUUGAUGUCACAUUGUGGGUAGUCCUGAGUCCUGACGUCCACUAGAAGAUAGCACGCCACAUGCUGUCCACUAAUAUCCGGGUGGGUCCAUGCUACCUAUUCAAAUAUCUAGGUCGGCAACACUUCUGGGAAGAACUCUACAAAAUAAAAAUAGAAAUACUUUAAAAUCAUUCUAAAAAAUAAUCUAUUUUUAAAUACAAAAUCAUUAAAAUAGACUAAAACUUAAACCUAAAAGAUUCGAUUCAUAAUUUAUAUCAUACACUUUCUCGUACCAAACAUAUGGUAAACCUUAUUGGCUAGAUGAGGGCGAAUCUGCCUAUGAGAGUGAUUUUUUUUUUUUUUCAAUAUUUCUCCAUUUUAAAAUUUUUUUUCAUACAUUUUUAUGAUUUAUUUUAUCAUUUGUUAAAGUGGUAAGCAAUCAUUAAAUACACAAAAUAAUUUUUUAUUUUAUUUAUUUAUAUUAUAUCUUCAACUUUAAGAGUGAAUUACUUUAACAAAGGAUAAAAUUAAGAACAACCCAUAAUAAGUACAAGGACAUGAGUCUACUUUAUUUUAACAUUGAUGCCUCAGUUCUAGUAUGAACAUUAGACCAUGUCUCAGGGAAAAAGUCUAAACCUUGUUCUCACCGAGAAAAGUAAAAGGGGGAAAGUGUGAGAAAGGGUGAGAAAGUGUAAAACUGAUGCAGCUUUUUGCAGGUGUCUGCGACAACAUGAGAGACUUAUUGCAUUGAGUUUUGUUCUAAUUGGCUAGAUAUGCCAUCAUUUCCCCUCCCCCCCCUUCAAAAGAAUGUCACAUUUUAUGUUUCACGUGAAUCAUAUCUGCUAAUAAUUUGAGGCGGGUGUUUUAUUUAUUUCCUUUUCCUACACCUACGAAACUUCAAGUGCAUGAUUGACAGAUUUCAAAAAUAAUACUACUAACAUGGACAUGUGGGCAUGAAACACGAUGAUGGAAGUAGGACAAGGUCAAGGUUGGCGCAUGGGUUGGCCGCAGCUACCUUAAAACAAAUUGGUAUUAGUUAUCGGCCACAGAAUAUUGGAGGUACCACAGGAGCAUGACGCUUUCUGAACAACCCUGCAGGCGUUUGUUAGCUGACGUUUCCAUGCAUGACACCAUCUGCCUCAUUUUUUCUUCAAUCUAAUGUGAAGUUUGUCUCCUCUUAUCUUCUUUUUCAAAAUAAUAUCCAUUCAAAUAUGCCAACCAAGUCAAUUUUAGUUGAAAAAUAGCUAUCUGCAAAAAGUUGUGACCGUGGAGGAAAGACGUAACUGAUCUACCACAUGAUGAACUAGUUAAGAUCCCAUGAAUAUUAAGUCAACGGUUUGGUUGGUAUCACAAAGAACAGAUCUUAUCACUAAAAUUAGAUUUUUUUUUUUUUUUUCACACUAAAUGGCCAAGAGUUGGUUUGGAAGGGGAUCUUGGUAAAGUGUUUUUAGUUUUCAACACUUAUAAGUAGAAUCAGUUAGUGUAGUAAUAUUUUUAAUUAUGUGUUGUAUAACAAAAAUUCAUUUUUGAAAUAUGAUUAAAUGUUUCUUUGGAUACACUCUUAUUUUUUGUUUUCAUGUUGAAGACACCAAAAAAACUAACUUUUGGCAAGACCCAUGAAAUUCAAAGUUCAUUCAUUGGAAAGGAUCCGCCCAGAUCUGGUUCCAAAACAAUGGUAAAUUUAUCACUUUUUUUCAUUGACCAUAUCAAAGUGUAAUACCCCAAACCCUAAAUAAAAUCAUAAUUCAAAAAACUCUUUUACAUAGAGAUGAGAAAUAUCAAAGAACAUAGAACUGAAGAUUUGGAGGUUUAGGGUUUGAGGAUCAAUUUUUUCGGGUAAGAUUUUUAAUCCUUAAAUUAAUAUUCUAUAUUCAUUAAUUAGUUUUAAACACUUUAGAUAUUCUUUACAAUAUCUCAAUUUUGAUUAGAGUUCGUUUAAUUAAUUUAUAAGUCAAAAAGAUUAAAAAAUUAUAAACAUAGUUUGAUUUAUUAAUGGAGAUGGACAAAUUUUGAUCACUCAAAUGAAUAGAUCUAGAAAAAAAAUAUAAUAAAUAAAAAAAAUAAGAGUAGUGUGAUUUUCUAGAACAGUGAAGAAAAAAUUAUAAUUAUAAUAAUAUAGAUGUGUGUCGUGUAGUAGAGGGUUUAAAAGAAAAAAAAAAAAAAAAAAAGAAUGCGUGUGUACAUCUAGGAAAUGAAGAAAUAAAAGAAGAAGAAAAAACAAGUGUUAUUAUUAUAAUAAUAAUAAUGGGCGUAGUUGGUGGCUUGGAGUAACGGUGUUGUAGGGUUUUGAAAAGUAAUAUUAAUAUUAAUAAUAUAUAUAUAUAUAUAUAUAUAUAUAUAUAUAUAUAUAUAUAUAUAUAUAUAUAUAUAACACAUUAAGACUAACAUGCCGAGAAAUGUAUAUUUUAGCAAAUAACAUGUUAAGACAUGUCAUUAAGUUGUAUUUAUAAAAAUUGAUGUACCUAUAAAUAAAUAAAGGAGUGAAUAAAAAAAAAAAAUUGAUCAUCUCCACGUUUUUCUUUUUAAAAUUUUCAUUACCUACAAAUGGGAAUAAAAAAAUACAAAAAGUUCCUUGAGAUUUUUAAAAUUUGGUUGAAUAUAGGAUUCCCAUUAGGAUGCAAACAUAUGCUAAAGACAACUACACUUUCAAUAUCGUCUAGAUUUAAUAAUAUGUUUGACAAUAAAACAUCGUGUCACAAAGGGGGAAUCUACACAAAUUGGAUGGAUACUUGAUCAUGGAAAGCUUAUUUUAGUGAGGCUUACACGCACGUUCUGAAAUAUAAGAGUAAUAUAUAUAUAUAUAAUGUAUAUAUAACGUAUAACAUGUGUUCUAAUAAUAGUAAUAAUAAUGGGCGUUGGCUUGGAGUAAUGGUGUGCCAGGUCUUUAAAAGUAAUAUUAAUAUUAAUAAUAUAUAUAUAUAAUGUGUGUAGUUGGUUAAGUGAAAGUUGGAUUAUGGGAAUAAUAAUAAUAAUAAUAAUAAUAGUUUUAUGUAUAGGUUUUAAUUUAAUUUAAGUAUAUAAAGAAAUAAAUAGUGAGGGUAAGAUUAGGAAAGAAAAUGAAUUUUACAAUAAUUUGAAAACUCUGUAAAUUAAUUUAUUAUUGUUUAGCAAGUUGAAAAUAAUAUUGGGUAGUAAUAAUAUUAGCAUGAGAAAUUAAUUAGAAUCCCUAAUACUAAAUAAAAUAUUUUUAGGAUUGUGAAAUUUUUACCUUUAGAUAAUUGUGUAUGAUAUUAUGUUAGGUGAUGAGUAAAUUCGUUCAGCUAAGUACUUCAAGUUUUUGAGCACUUCUUCAAGGUAAGGGAAAUUAAUGCAAAUUUUUAUAAAAGAAAAUAAUUUUCUUUUUAUAUUGUAUUUUGAAAUGUGUAAAAAUAUUAUUUUUAUCUUUAUGCAUGAAUCAAAUAUGUGUUUUGUAUGAAAUGUAUAUUUGAACAUUUUCUUUGUUUAUAAAAAAUGAAAAAUUUAGGAGAUAUGAUGUUUUGUUUUGUAAGUUUGAAUUAAUGAUAUAAAGUGUUUGACUUUACAUUAUAUGACUCUAGUCAACGGGUUAUAAGUUCCCAGAUGAGGUCCCAACAUCAACAGUAGAGGCAACGAGGCUAGUAGUAUUAGAGACAUUCUUCAUUCUACGCUAGAGGUGAGUAGGGUGCUCAGAGGGCGGCUAUUGCUAAAGUAUGUUAUGGUUGUGGGGUAGGAGAUCAUUUAUGGAGGGCUUGCCCAUUAAGGGGUGCACGACAAGCUCAAUUUAAGCCAUAAAGAGGUCCUCAGCAACAACCAAUAUUGCAUUUCCAGCCUCCUCAAUUUCACCUACACUACUACCAGAUGUCGCAGUUAUCCCCAGUAGUGUAGGGAGCCUAGACAACCACUAUGAGUAGUCAGACUCCAUCUUCUCAAGGAUCGAGUGCUAGAAGUAAAGGGAGGCAGGCGGCAGGUAGAGUUUUUGCCUUGACCCCAAUAAAGUUAGAGAAUGACGUCAUUUUGGUGGAAAGUAUGGUUUUGGUCCAUAGUACUUAGGUGCGUAUUUUGUUUGAUACUGGUGCAACUCAUUCUUUUAUUUCUGUAUCUUGUGCUAAUAUAUAGGGGAUGAAAACGAAAAUAGUAAAAAAUCUAUUACUUAUCGAAUNNNNNNNNNNNNNNNNNNNNNNNNNNNNNNNNNNNNNNNNNNNNNNNNNNNNNNNNNNNNNNNNNNNNNNNNNNNNNNNNNNNGGGGAUGAAAACGAAAUAGUAGAAAUCCAUUACUUAUCGAAUCCUUAUGGGUACGAAUUCUAGAGUUGAUAGAAUAUGCAAGGAGUGCAUUAUUACCUUGGUAGAUAGAGCACUUAAGGUGGAUUUGAUGAUUUUGGAUAUGACUAGGUAUGAUGUUAUCUUGGGAAUGGAUUGGUUGACAAUGUAUAAAGCACUUAUUAAUUGUCAUCAUCGUAGGAUAAUAUUUUGUCUGUCAGAUGGAUUUGAGAUUUGCUUUGUUGGGGGGAAGUGUAUUAGUUUUGCCCUUUUCGCAGUCCGAUCCAUGCUAUUAGUAUGUGUUGAGGAAGGGAUCAAUAAAUUUCCUAGCUUGUCUUUUUAGUAAGGAAAAAACCUAGAAGGACUUUACAAAAAUUCUAUUAGUGGGGAAGUUUCAAGAUGUAUUUCCAGGUGAGCUACAAGGUUUACCACCAUAUAGAGAGUUUGAUUUCUCUAUUGAAGUAUAUCCAGGAACGGAUCCUAUCUCGGCAACCCCCUAUAGGAUGGUGCCUCUUGAGUUGAAAGAGUUGAAAACUCAAUUUGAGGAAUUGUUGAGUAAAAGUUUUAUUCGUCCAAAUACAUUACCAUGGGGAGCCCCAAUGUUGUUUAUGAAGAAUAAAAAUGACACAUUAAGGUUGUGUAUUGACUAUAGGAAGUUGAAUAGAGUUACUAAGAAGAAUAAGUAUCAUCUUUCAAUGAUAGAUAAUUUGUUUGAUCAGUUGAAGGAUGCGAAGUGUUUUAGUAAGAUUGACUUGAGAAUUGGGUAUCAUCAAUUGAGUGUUAGAGAAGAAAAUGUCCCCAAGAUUGCUCUUAGAACGAGAUAUGGGCAUUAUGAAUUCUUAGUCAUGCCUUUUAGGUUAACUAAUGUCCCCGCUGCUUUCAUGGAUUUAAUGAACAUAAUAUUUUGUGCUUGCUUGGAUUAGUUUGUGAUUGUCCUUAUGGAUGACAUCUUGAUUUACUCAAGGAGUUUGGAGGAGCAUAAGUAGUAUUUGGUGACCACCCUUAGAACAUUAAGAAGACACCAAUUAUAUGGAAAGUUGGACAAAAGUGAGCUUUGGCUUACUGAAGUGAAUUUAUUAGGCCAUGUGGUUUUUGAGGCAGUAGUAGUGGACCAUUCCAAGGUGGAAAUUGUGCAAGAGUGGCAAAGGCCUACAAAUGUAUUUGAGGUUAAGAGUUUCUUGGGAUUGGUUAGAUAUUAUAGGAUGUUUUUGGAAGACUUCUCUAGAAUUGCAACACCGAUGACUCGGUUGACUAGAAAAUGAGUGAAAUUUGAAUGGAAUGAUGAGUGUGAGAAUGCUUUCCAAGAGUUGAAGUGGAAAUUGACCACUAUUCUAGUGUUAACUACUCUUACUAGUGGAAAGUUGUUUAUUAUUUAAUGUGAUGUUUUUACAGUAAGGCUAUGGUGCGUGCUAAUGCAGCAAGGCAAGGUGAUAGCUUAUGCCUCAAGGCAAUUAAAGUCGCAUCAGCGGAACUAUCCAACAAAUUAUUUGAAGCUUGCAGUAGUGGUGUUUGCCCUUAAGACUUGGAGACACUAUUUGUAUUGAGAGAAGUUUGAGGUGUACUUUGAUCAUAAGAGUUUGAAAUACAUCUUCACUCAAAAGGAUUUGAACUCUAGUCAAAGAAGAUGGAUGGAGACAUUGGAAGAUUAUGAUUUUGCUCUUCAUUACCAUCUUGGAAAGACGAAUAUUGUAGUAGAUGCCUUGAGUAGGAAGAACUAUGGUCAAUUGCCUAGCUUGUGGUUGAGAGAGUUUGAGCUGCAUGCAGUUAUUAAAGAUUUUGAGCUAUGUCUUGGUUGGGAAGUACAGGGUCCAUGCUUGUAUAGUAUAUCGGCUAGACCAUUCAUUAUCCAAAUAAUAGUGGAGACCCAAUUUCAUGAUGAGCUUUUAGAAAAAGUUAAAGCCCAAUUGGUAGAAGGUGAAGCAAAUGAAAAUUGGUCUAUACAUGUAGAUAGGAGUGUGAGAUUUAAAGGAAUAUUGUGUGUGCCAAAGGAUGUAGAGUUGAGGAAUGAACUUCUAGUAGAUGCUGAUAAGGCAAAGUAUACCAUCCACCCUGAGAGUGCCAAAAUGUAUCAAGACUUAAAGAGAUAAUUUUUGUGGAGUGGGAUGAAAUGAGACAUUGCUCAAUAUGUAGCCAAUUGUUAGCAAGUGAAAGAUGAAUACCAAAAGCUUACGAGAUUGUUGCCAAUUUUACCUACACUUGAGUGGAAGUGGGAUCAUAUCACUGUGGAAUUUGUGAUAGGGUUGCUAAGAAUUAGAAGAAAAAAAAUGGAGUUUGGGUGAUUGUGGACUAUCUUACUAAGUCAACUCAUUUUCUAGCCAUGAAGACUUGACUCCAUGAACUCUCUCGUUAAGUUGUAUAUAUAGGAGAUUGUGAGGUUGCAUGGGAUACCUUUGUUUAUAGUGUCUGACAAGGACCUUAAGUUUACUUCUCAAUUUUGGCAGAGUUUACAAAGGGUUAUGAGCACCCAAUUGAAUUUUAGCAUCGCUUUUCACCCUCAAACAGAUGGUUAGUUAGAAAAAGUAAUCCAAAUUUUAGAAGACAUGUUGAGGGCUUAUGUUUUGGACUUUGGAGGGAAUUGGGUAGAGUUCGCUUAUAACAAUAGUUACCAAUCUAGUAUUGGCAUAGCACCUUAUGAAGCACUCUAUGAGAGACCUUGUAGAUCACCCUUGUGUUGAAUAGAGUUGGGUAAUUAAGAGUCGUUUGUUGGGACCUGAGAUUGUCUAAGAGACUAUGAAAAAAAUACAACUCAUCAAGAAAAAACUUAAGAUCACUCAAGAUAGAUAGAAAAACUAUGCAAACCAAAGGAGAAGGGCUUUGGAGUUUGGGGAAAAGGAUUGGGUUUUUAUUAAGGUGUCCCCGUAAUCAAAGUGUGAUGACAACACCAUGGGAUUGAAGAAGCCACUUGGGAUCAUGAAGAAGAAAUUAGGCAACAUUAUUCGCAACUGUUCUUUAAUUUUUGAGGUAAACUCGUUUAAAUUUUGAGACAAAAUUUCUUUCAGGGGGGUAGGAUGUAAUGAUUGAGUAUUUUAAGCCAAGUUGGAAUUUCAAGUUUGAAAAUUCUUCCUUUUUGGUGGUGGUUGAAAAGUCAAAAAGUAGUUGGAAAAUACGUGUCAAUUUUGGAUUGAUGGAAUUUGAAAGAUUUUAUUGGUCAAUCAAGCGAGUUGAAUUUUCGUGCCACGUUAGCUUUUUAGCAGGAAAUUUCUUAGGAUUGUAGAAAUCAAAUUUUUUUCCCGAAAAUCAAAAAGCGAAAACAAAAAUAAAAUAAAUAAAUAAAUUUUAAAAAUUAAAAUAUUUGUGUGGUGUGUGAUAAUUUAUUUUGUGUGUUGUAAAAGAAUGAAUUAAGAAAAGAAAAUGAAUUGAAUUAAGGAAAAAAAAAACUAAAUUAAUAUAAUAUAAUAUAUAUAUAUACAUAUAUUGUUUUUGGAUUGGGCUGUCACCACCUUUAGUGGCUCGUUUAAAUAGAAAAGAAAAAGAACGAAGAAAGUAGAAAAUGAAGGAAAACUUAUAGAAGAGUCUUGGUGACUGCAGUGGAAAAAAAAAAAAACUACUUUUCGAUUGGUUGUUUCAAUGGCCAAACAUCAUCCUUUUCACGUGAAAUUUUAAGGGAAUACUUUACUCGACACGAGGAACAUUCAUACAGUGUUGGAUUUUGUUUUCAACGAUUGGAUCAUUAGAUCUGUGGUAGACGGUUUUAACACUAAAACUUUAAUUAAAUGCCCUUUUCUUAACAAAAAUUAUUGUUUUUGUUGUUAGAAGCUAAAUAAACAAUAUUUGUGAUACGAGGAAUUUUAUUGGAUGAUUUGGGAAUUUUUUUAGAAAUUUUGUGAUGACGAUAUUUUUUUUAUGGUUGUUAAAUGAUUGUGCUUGGGUUAUUAAAAUUAAUGGGAUCAUUGAGGAUAAAUGAAAUUAUGGUAGAAAUUAUGUUGGAUUGAUAUUGGGUAUAUUGAGAACUAAUUGAGAUGUUUUUGGUAAUUUAAUUGUGAAAAUAAUUGUAUUUGGUUAUUGAAAUUAUUGGGAUUGUUGACAAUAAAAGAAAUUUUAGUAUACAUUGUAAUUUUAUUGAUGUUUGGAUUAGUGAGAAUUUUGUAUGACAUUUGUAGAUGAUGAUAUGUAAUUUCAUUGCAUUUCAUAUGCAUCAUGGUUGUGUGAAGGAAAAUAAAAAUUUGUUGUAAGGUUGUAUGAAAUAAAAAAGAAAGAAAAAUAAAAUAAUGAUGAAAAGUAAAGGCCCGUGAAAGGUGAAUUAAGAAGGGAGUGAGAUCCUUAGGGUGAAAGACCAAAAAUUUACCCCGGGAAUACUCUAAACUGGGAGUGUAUUUAGGUACAGACAUGUUUUCUUUAUUGAAAGCUCGAGAACGACAAUACUUUUUAUGACUGUGUGUUACAUAUCCACAUGCAUUUUAUUAAUUGUUGAAAAUUGCUGAAUUGCUAUAAUUAUAGAAACUAAAAUGUUUGGGUUGGUUAAAUUAUGGUAGAAUGUUUAUUUUUUUGUAUACUUGAACCUUAGUAAUCCCAAAUUAACCUUUCCUUGGGUGUAAAGCACUCUACUGAGUAAUGUGAAAUGCUCAUCAUUUCCUUCUUAUAUAUAUUUAAAUGUAGAUGUGAUUCAUGAGGAUCCACAAAUGGGACAAGGAGGGCUUUAAGACGCCUCAGAAGAUUUUGGAGCAGCAUAAUGAAUUGUAGUGUAGUUGUUAUGUUGGUUUAUUUUGGAACUUGUAUUAACAAAUUUUGAAAUUAUAUAUUUGUAUUGAGACUUUAUUUUGAUUAAUUUGCUUAUAUUGUGGACUUUCAUUUUAGACUUGAGUUGGAGAUUACAUUGUUAUUGAAUUUCUUUGUUGCUCUUAAGUAAUGAUUGUUAUAUUGAUAAAUUGGAAUGUUAGUUAAAGGAAGUUCUAGUGUGAUUUAUAUUUAAAAAAAGAAAAAGAAAAUUCAAAGCGUUUUAGUUUACUGUUAGCUUGGAUUAGGAGGAACCCUUAGGAUCAAAUCUUUGACUUUGGAUCAUGGGCCAAAUUUUGAGUCGCCCAAAAUUCGGGUCGUGACAGCUCUAAGUCCUCAACUAUGUACUUCAAAGAAUAAGGAAGAGAAAAAGAGAGUAUCCUAAUUUUAUGGGGUAAUGACGUCAAGGGUAUUUGCUUUUCUCAUUUGAUUUGUCAUUGUCUAUUUAAAAUAAAUUCUUUUCUAUGAUAUAGGGCUUGAUCGUGGUUUGGUUGAAUCAUCAACACUACAAGCGUACGUGUAACAUGGGAUUGCAACACUAGAAUGGGCUGCAUGCCUUAAUCCCUAUGCUGACUGUGUGAGGGUGCCUUAGUCCAUAUGUUGACGACGAGGGAUAUACAUACCUUAUAAUCAUUGUGGUCUCAAUGUCAUAUAUAUUUGUGGAUCGUUUUAAAGCAAUCCAUUUAUAUAUAUAUAUAUAUAUAUAUAUAUAUAUAUAUAUAUAUAUAUAUAUAUUUCAGAUUUUCCAAAAUAUCAAUGUGAAAAAUCUAGUUGGCUUUUUACAACACAAGAUUGCUUUAUAUAAAUCUUAAGGUAUGACAUUAAGACUAACAUGCCGAGAAAUGUAUAUUUUAGCAAAUGACAUGUUAAGACAUGCAUGUCAUUAAGUUGUAUUUAUAAAAAUUGAUCUACCUAUAAAUAAAUAAAGGAGUGAAUAAAAAAAAAAAUUUGAUCAUCUCCACGUUUUUCUUUUUUAAAUUUUCAUUACCUACAAAUGGGAAUAAAAAAAUACAAAAAGACGUUCCUUGAGAUUUUUAAAAUUUGGUUGAAUAUAGGAUUCCCAUUAGGAUUCUGACAAACCAAACAUAUGUUAAAGACAACUACACUUUCAUCGUCUAGAUUUAAUAAUAUGUUUGACAAUAAAACGUCGUGUCACAAAGGGGGAAUCUACACAAAUUGGAUGGAUACUUGAUCAUGGAAAGCUUAUUUUAGUGAGGCUUACAUGCACGUUCUGAAAUAUAAGAGUAAUAAAAUAAGCAAGGCAACAGUAGAUAAACGUGACCAAUGAAGCAGCCGCCAUGUUGACUGUUGGAUGAAGCAGCUUGCCCUGUUGAAUGUUGGUCAUCCACGCUUAGUCAUGAAAACCGUGACAUUUACGAAUUCAGUCUUCUCUCUGGUCAUGCGAUCAGCAACAAUCUUUUUGUACCUGCCGAACACUUCCUCUAUUAUUCCGUCACCGAAGUGGCUUACAAGCAAUGGCUCUGCAACUGCUCUCAUCAACUUGGCCACGUUGUAUCCACCAUCUUUAUGAGCAUCUGAUGGGCAGAAUUCACCGUGGUACGCAUUCCAGUUCACUUCAGAAACCUCCAGCCGAUUUAUGGUGUAGGAUCCUUCCUUUUCAACCUCACAUUUUACUUCAGCUGGGGAAGGUGUAUAUUGAGGAAUAUUGAAGGAAUCCAUCUUCUCCUCAUCUAUGAGCCCCUGCAUUUAAAAAUGGUUAAUUAAUUUACAUGCAAUUUCAUAUAUAGUUACCACACAGGUGCUGUUGCUGAAUGAUUUGAUCUAUACAAAUUGGCAACAUUAAGGGAUGAAAGAAUUAAAACUGUACCUCUGAAACCAUAUCAUUGAGAGCCACAGCUAAGAGCUCCCAGAUAUAGCAACAUUCUUUGCUAGAGGGAUCUUCACUUCUUCUUCCUAAAAAUGUUAAAACCACAGUCCCUCCUCCUAGUAGUUCCUCCGACCG
rnacentral:lncRNA from 1 species